GCCAGGUGUGGUGGCGCAUGCCUGUAGUUCCAGCUACUCGGGAGGCUGAGGCAGGAGAACUGCCUGAGCCCAGGAGUUCGAGGCUGCAGUGAGCCAUAAUUGUGCCAUUGCACUCUAGCCUGGGCAACAGAGGAAGACCCUGUCUCUG
rnacentral:SRP_RNA from 1 species